AGGAAAUAUUACCAGCAAUUAGGCCAGCCAUUGAUAGCGUCUGAGGAAACAGCUUCAGGUGGUCUUUCUGGCAGACAAGGAUUUCACGCUUCAAGUAUCGUCGAUUUAUGCACAAAAUGAUCAUACGUCCAUGAGGCAUACUCCACAAAAUUUUAGUUUGUAAAUAUCUUAGAUGCUUUGUCACUCUUCUUCAACAAGACGUACAAAUCAGGAUCCUGAGACUCACUGCAAUUGUAGUCAGCGUUUGAGGUGACAGUAUGAACGCCAUAGCCAGCUGUCCGUACGCCUUAAACAACGAGUUCAUAAAAAUUGCGAAUGUCAAAGGCCCACCUGGCUCACAAGGGCGGUUAGUCCGCCUGACAGCUCCUCCUGCCAGCGACUAGAUGUCGCGUCUUUAUCGCGAGCACGGUGUCUAGUAAAGGAGUAAAACAAACGAACUGGAGGGGCUUCCUUGAAUCGCGUGUGAAUGAAGACUUCCCAGCAAGCCCAGAGUUCCGGUGGUAUCGUUGGGAUUGAGUCCACCUGCUAGCAGGCAUUACUGAAGAUCCUUGCCACGCCACCUCGUCUGCGUGAGCCAACGAGAUGCAGUCGCAAUGAGCACUACUUUAAGCAGCGUUGUCACAACCUAUUGGGGCAUUUUUACUAUCGAGUGCUACCCCGGAACGACUACAAGGAUUAGCCCCUCCUUCUAGAAGGAGGGAUUUCCCCUUUACCCAGUAACCCCGCCUGUUUCGCACCCAUACACCUAUGACGCCCAUGUACGCGACAUAUGUACUUAAAUGAUAACAGUUACACUGAUGAAACUCCAGGUUCAGCAAGCAAACCAUCAAGGACAAGGACAUUAUUGCCACCACCUACCAGUAACCAAUUGUAAUCAGCAUGAGGCAGACGUCAGCCAAUUUUGCCGACACAAAGCUACCGAGGAAAUGAAUGUACACGGUAAGAUGAACAGAUGUAAUGGAGCAGCUAUGGCCUAAGUAAGUUGGACCUCCACCGUCGCAGUCUUCGACUGAUGUUGGUCGGUUAGACAAACGGGCGAAUGAGCCCUUGGGACAGUUUUCAGAGCGGCGAAGUGGUGAAGACUGCGAUAACAAUCGUGGUAGCUGCACGCGAACUCUAGCUGCGAGACAGCGUUGGCCUGCGAGUGUCUUUCGAUCGUUGGCGGGAUAGCUUUUUUUUUAGUGCAACUGUUGGCGUAUGUGAAAGGGAGGACGCUAAAAUUAACAUUCCCCUUACGUUGAUGGAAAUGCGUACGGAGCCACGUUUAAGUAUGAUUUAGGAGGCAGGACGCAAUCAUGGACGCUGAAUGCUAUAAUGAGACUGGUUUCAUUUGUAUGUCGUUACGGAAGAAAUAAAAAAAAAACGGGCGCACAUGCGUCAGUCGCUCUCGCGGCGCAGGGUGUAAUAAUACGACCUUGAUACACCCAAUGCGUUAAUUUCUAACGUCAACAAAGCACGAAAGGAUCUUUCUUUGCAUUUGUCCAGGGUUAUGUUCAAAUUAUAUUAUUACUUGAUUCAUAAUCUGCCUUCAGCUGACAUAUUUUUGGAACGCAAAGUUUCCCACGUCAUAGAGGGUUGUCUUGAGGAGCGUGUAGAAUGAGCAAAAGAUGCACUAAGCGAC
rnacentral:lncRNA from 1 species